CUCAAUUUUCGUCCAGCCUGGUUCUUGUAGCCAGACCAUCAGAAGUAUUAAUUUAAUGCACAUAGAAUGCAGGUGCCCGUGAUUUCUGUGUGUGUGUCCUCUCGUAUACAUGAUCAUUUUUGUAUAUACACAUCUCGUGCACAUCACUUCAAAAUUGUGUAAAGUGUUCUAUCACAUCAUCAUUGUACAUAACCAUUGUGUACACUGUAUAUAUUGAAAAUCAUAUUGUACAUGUGGCAUUUAGUUUAUGUGUAACUGUGCCUUUCUGUGGGUAUACGUGUUUAUAUGUUGGUGCGUGAGGACUCGGACAUUACUUACGU
rnacentral:lncRNA from 1 species